rnacentral:rRNA from 1 species
UACGGAGGGUGCGAGCGUUGUCCGGAUUUAUUGGGUUUAAAGGGUGCGUAGGUGGCUUUAUAAGUCAGUGGUGAAAUACAGCCGCUCAACGGUUGAGGUGCCAUUGAUACUGCAGAGCUUGAAACAAGUGGAGGCUGCCGGAAUGGAUGGUGUAGCGGUGAAAUGCAUAGAUAUCAUCCAGAACACCGAUUGCGAAGGCAGGUGGCUACGUUUGAUUUGACACUGAGGCACGAAAGCAUGGGGAGCAAACAGG